AGCGAACGCUGGCGGCAGGCCUAACACAUGCAAGUCGAACGAACCUUUCGGGGUUAGUGGCGGACGGGUGAGUAACACGUGGGAACGUGCCUUUAGGUUCGGAAUAACUCAGGGAAACUUGUGCUAAUACCGAAUGUGCCCUUCGGGGGAAAGAUUUAUCGCCUUUAGAGCGGCCCGCGUCUGAUUAGCUAGUUGGUUGAGGUAAUGGCUCACCAAGGCGACGAUCAGUAGCUGGUCUGAGAGGAUGAUCAGCCACAUUGGUACUGAGACACGGCCCAAACUCCUACGGGAGGCAGCAGUGGGGAAUCUUGCGCAAUGGGCGAAAGACUGACGCAGCCAUGCCGCGUGAAUGAUGAAGGUCUUAGGAUUGUAAAAUUCUUUCACCGGGGACGAUAAUGACGGUACCCGGAGAAGAAGCCCCGGCUAACUUCGUG
rnacentral:rRNA from 1 species